GAUGAACGCUGGCGGCGUGCCUAAUACAUGCAAGUAGAACGCUGAAGGAGGAGCUUGCUCUUCUGGAUGAGUUGCGAACGGGUGAGUAACGCGUAGGUAACCUGCCUGGUAGCGGGGGAUAACUAUUGGAAACGAUAGCUAAUACCGCAUGACAACAGUUAUUGCAUGAUAACUGUUUAAAAGGGGCAACUGCUCCACUACCAGAUGGACCUGCGUUGUAUUAGCUAGUUGGUGAGGUAACGGCUCACCAAGGCGACGAUACAUAGCCGACCUGAGAGGGGGGGCAGCCACACUGGGACUGAGACACGGCCCAGACUGCUACGGGAAGCAGCAGGAGGGAAUCUUCGGCAAUGGACGGAAGUCUGACCGAGCAACGCCGCGGGAGUGAAGAAGGGUGUCGGAUCGGAAAGCUCGGUUGUAAGGGAAGAACGAGUGUGAGAGUGGAAAGUUCACACUGUGACGGUAUCUGACCAGAAAGGGACGGCUAACUACGUG
rnacentral:rRNA from 1 species